rnacentral:lncRNA from 10 species
UGGUGUGAUCUUGGUUCACUGAAACCUCAACUUCUGUGGCUCAAGCCAUCCUCCCACUUCAGCCUCCUGAGUAGCUGGGACUACAGAUACAUGCUACCAUGCCCAGCUAAUUUUUUAAAAUUUUUUGAAGAGACAGAGUCUCGCCAUGUUGCCUGGGCUGGCCUCAAACUCUCCGGCUCAAGCAAUCCUUCCACCUCGGCUUCCCCAAAUGUUGAGAUUACAGGUGUGAGCCACCGAACAUGGCCAGCAGGCAGCUUAUAAUCAGCCAAUUCUAGGCCAUGUUGUAAGGAAGUGGACCUGUCUUUGACAGCAGGGUCCUGGCACCCAAGUGGACACAGGUGGUGGUCCUGUAACAGUGGCUUGAUUACGCUGUUUUGUGUGUCUAAUCUGAACAUAGGGAAGUAUAAGAUGUGUAAGCAGCUUUAUCAAAGAGUUAUAACAAGUUUUACUUUCCAGAUAUGAAAUGCUGAAUUUGUAUAAAUAAAUUAAACCUUAAUAGCA